rnacentral:lncRNA from 1 species
UUGGCCUCGUUGUCCACCAGACAUGGCCCUUGCGGGUGCGGCUCCCAGGGAGCAGCCCCUGGUGCAGGCUGGGGGGACCCCCCAGGGCCACCAGGGCUGUGGGCCAGGAUCUGAGGACAGGACAGCUUUGUGUGUUGCGGGCCCCGGGGCCCCGCGGUCCCUCUGGGUUCUGGAUCGCCCUUCCAGCUGUGGAGGCUCCAAAAAGGUCGCAGAGGCCCCACGCACCCACACACACCCCCACACACACACCCUGGGUGCUUCCCCCUCAGCUUCAGGCUCCAGCACCCACUUUGGGGGUAUGGCAGCACCCCGUUCCCCAGGGGGUGUGGGCAGACCCAGUCUUUCCAGCCCCUGGGCCUGCAGGGUGGCUCUGCCCCCGCUGAGCACGGCCAGUCGCUUCUUGGGCAUGUGGAGGGCCCAACGGCUGCACCAGGACCCCUGGCUUUGGGGGAGGGGCAAGAAAUGAAAAGUUCUGCCCCCCCAAACGGAAGCUGCCCCAGGCCAGGCUGGGAACCUGCCCUGAGCUGCUGAUGUCUCACCACCAGGCUGUGUGCCUGAGGCAGGACCCAGGAGAGCGGUGGCCAGGGGCAGAGUGUGUGACACGCCAGGCCUCCCCGCCUAUGGUUACGGCACCACUACAGCCCCUUCCCAGGGGAGGGGUGUCUGUCCGGCCUCCGUCCCGUGAGCCCAGUCCUUCCCCCGGAGCCUGACGUCAGGCCUGGCCACAGCUCUGCACCGACCCAGCACAGCUCAGCCGUCAGCCCAGACCGAGGGAGGCCGGAGUUGGGGUCCCAGCUGCCCCCCGCCACCAGCUGGGACCUCAGAACCCCUCUCUGUCCAGAUUCAACCUUGCCCCCUGCGGGCCUGGGAGUACCCACCUGCGUUUCCCCCCCCACCCCAGUACCCAGAGCUGGACCUCAGCCGCUGCCCUGCCUGCUGCCGGGGCUGGGGCCGGGGAAGGGGCUGGAGACAGGCCGGGCCAUGGUCAACUCCGCCUUGCCAGAGGCCGAGGCCUGGGAGGGCGCAUGGCUGGGUCUCCAGCCGUCCCCCGUGCCGGGCCCCUGGCUGGACGGUCCCAGCUGGCGUGGCCGGAGGAGGGCUUCCUGGAGCACACGACACGGCAGGUGUUGCCCGGCUGAGCUGCAGGAAGCAAAGCUGUUCCAGCAGAGAGGACAGCCUGAAAGGACCCAGGUCGCAAGGAGCUGGCACCCUGGGAUCGAGGGAGUGAGAAUCGCUUGAUGUCACCUCACCUGGCACAGGGGCCAGCGCGGGUGACGGGGAGGGACCCUGAGGUGCGUCGUGGUCCUAGACUACCUGUCUACGGUGUCUCAGAGGGAAGCAGUUGGUCCGGCGGGGAGGGGACGCGGCGCCAGCAGCAGCUGCUCACGGAAGGGCUGGAAGGGGCCGCAGGCCGGCCUAGAGCAGCCACCAGAAUCGGAAAACAAGGGUGCUCUGCCCUGGAGCCUCCAGAGCCCAGCCCUGCACACACCUUGGUUUCAGGCCAGGAGACCGCCUGGGGCCUCGGAACGCCAGGGCUGCAGGAUGAAUCGGUGUUGUUUUAAGCCACUGGGCGCGUGCUCACUGUGUCAGCGGUGAUGGAAUACCAGGAAGCAUCAGCUGGAAGGUGGAGUGGGUGGCCGGCAGGACCUCCAGGCCUGGCCCAGAGCACCGACCCUCCUUCUGGCCAUAGGGAGCCAAGUAGGCCCGGGGCUCAGCUCUUCCCGGCAUCGCUGGGGUGGAGUCUCGGGGUGAGGGUGGGGCUUUGAUGGGGAGGAGGGCCUGGCGUGGUUAUCACCCCCAAUCCCACUUUUCCAACCCAGCCUCCGCCUCAAGCCCCAGUCAGGGGAACAGGGGCCAUGGCAGGAGCUUAAGGUCCAAGGGGCCCAGCGAGCUGUCCAUUAGUGCCAGCUGCGGGGAGACCGCCCAGGCAGCCGGACCCUUGACCUUCUCUGCUGGCAUAAUCCUGGAGAGCUUCUCGGCCUGACCAGAGGCAAGGAGGAAGCCUCGGUCCUGGACAGGGUUCUCGUACAGCGGAGAAGCCAGAGCAGACAGGUGUCUGGGGAGAUGACAAAGGAGACCUGUGGUGGGAGACUGCUGCUACGGCACCAGUCCCAGCAGUCAACGAUGGGGCCCAACAAGGCACAGGUGAGGAGGCCCCGCCGUGUGGGAGAGUCAAGAGACCACAGCAUUUGGGGCUGUCGUCGCCUCUGGUCAGCCGCCGCCACCGCCUGUGUCACUGGACAGCUGGGUUUAAGCACAGGGGAACCACAGCUCGGAAUCUCAGCACGGGUCUCAGCAGGCGAACGGUAGAAAGGGCUCUGGUUGGUGGAGGUCCCGUCAUGGCUCAGUGGUUAACAAACACGACUAGCAUCCGGGAGGGCGAGGGUUUGAUCCCCGGCUUCGCUCAGUGGGUUAAGGAUCUGGUGUUGCCGUGAGCUGUGGUGUAGGUUGCAGACGUAGCUCGGAUCCCAUGUUCCUGUGGCUGUGGUGGAGGCCAGCAGCUACAGCUCCGACUCAGCCCCAGGCCUGGGAACCUCCAUGUGCCACGGGUACAGCCCUAAAGAAAAC